rnacentral:rRNA from 1 species
UCCGUAGGGGGCGAGCGUUGUCCGGAUUUAUUGGGCGUAAAGAGCGUGUAGGCGGCCAGGUAGGUCUGCUGUGAAAACUCGAGGCUCAACCUCGAGACGUCGGCGGAAACCAUCUGGCUAGAGUCCGGAGGAGGAGAGUGGAAUUCCUGGUGUAGCGGUGAAAUGCGCAGAUAUCAGGAAGAACACCCGUGGCGAAGGCGGCUCUCUGGGACGGUACUGACGCUGAGACGCGAAAGCGUGGGGAGCGAACAGG